UGAGUUUUUACCCUCUGCUUGUUCUAGUUCUGCUGCUUUGAUUUGAGACUGGAAGAAGGUGCCCUAAAGCUUGCUUGUGUUUUUUGUUGUUGUUGCUUGUUUGCUUUAUCAACUGCAUUGGUCAGACUUGAAAAAAGUAUUAUUCUUCUGCAAAAACUUUGCCUAAAUAACAUACUGUUUGUAACUAGCUCAAUCCCAGAGAGAGAGAAGUUUCUUUAAACUUUGGAACAUAAAAGUUGUUCAAUAUCCAAAUAAAAUGAUUUUGUGACCCCUCUCUCUCUGUUCCAGAUGAAACUGCAAAAUGAGGAAAGAGGGAAAUGCCCUCCAGUGCCUUUGCCUACUGGAGUUAUUCGUGGCUCCCCCCAGCAGGACAGCCAGGCAGGAUCCCCAAACAUGACUAUGUUCCCUUAAAAAAAAAAAAAAAAAGUGUUUACUUAGGGGAAACUACCAAAUAGAGCCUGCCCUAGGUUAAAGAAGUUUUGUCACUCAGCAGAACAGCUCUCUGGUUUCUUAUGGCAGUGUGGGGUGGAGGGGCUGUGGCUACAAAAAGCUAAGUAUUUUGCACCAAAACUCUGAGCACUGAUUUUCGACUGUAACCUUCUGUCUCUCCUUUCUCUAGGACCUGUCUCCGAAGCCUUGCCUUUAUUAUGGAGAAGGUUUAUGUGAUUUGUGAUCUGCAGCCAACAUGAUGAACUCAAGAAAAAAGGGAGGUGUUUAGCUUGACACUGCCUCAGUAGCUGCACCAAGUUGAAUUUGGGGAAGUAAAAAAUGAUGCAAACAUCUGAGUGAGAAAACUUCAGUUUUGGACAUAAAAUGAUAACUUUGCUAAUCUCAAAACCUCCUGUUGUGUCAUGUCAUAUCUUGUGGGUUGGCAAGCUUUGCAGUGAUGGUGGGUUUUUGGAAAGCAGAGGAGGAAAUUUAUAUGAAGAUACUUACAAUGAAGGUUGCUAAAAGCAUGAAUGUUUAUGAAUAUAUAAACGUUAUAGUUAGUGGCCACAAUAACACCUCAAUCCCUUAAUGAAUGGUUAGAAGGUGACAGAAAUUAAUAACAUCAAUAAAUGACACAGGACAAAGUGUAAAUAUUUCAGUAUAAAGACUUCUGACCUCAUCUUCUUCGUCUGAGCAGGUUUCACUGUCUCGCUCCUCCAGUGAACUUCUGAAAAAGCAUUUUGUGUAUCAGGCCCUUAGAGAAAUGACAGCUCAAAGGAGACCUUGUUAGUAUAGUAUGAACAUGGCAACUAGCCAACACUGACACCUGCAAACAACCUCUAGUUUCAGCUGCAGGUAGCUGGCAGCUUCCCUUUCUGUUGUGUGUUGGCUGUUUGCUCCUGAAUAGUCCUUUGAACGUUUGCAGAUUUGUCCCCCCUUGUCUGUGGGCUGCUUGGGGGUCAGUAGGAGCUAGAGGUCACACCAAGAUGCGCUGUAAGAGCUGUGCCUGUCCUCAGGCAAGAUGGUUUUUGAGCUGUUCCAGGCUCUGCUGGCCAGCAGGGUGAGGACUCAACAGAUAAGCAAGAGCUGAGGGUGUUGAUCCAAGUGCCUUUAAACAUGGUGGGAAGCUGGGCUCUUGGGUAAUGAGAAGGCUGAGGCAAAAGACUUGUUAAAAUGACUCAGCAGCACAGUAAGUGUAGAGAAAGCUUUGUGCUCCGUGUGGAGUGUGGUACUGCUCCUGAACAACAUGCUGUGGCCACCACAGGAGUCUGCAGCUUUUACUUGCCCUUGGAGAAGGCUGUUAAGUGCUUCUUCUGCACAGCCAUCUGCCAUUUACCAGCAAUGCAGUCUCCUUCUUCCCUACUCAUCCCCAGGGAUGAGCCUGAGCUGCAAAAGCAAGGCAAGGGAAGCCUCUCUGGCACUGUCAGCAGUCUGCUCAUUGCCUUCAUUUGCACCUAUUGCCAUGGGGCCAUGGGAGGGGUGAAAAACCUCAGUUUGCAUCAUUUUAGUGCCAGCCCCACUUGCGUAUGCAUCAUUUCUGCCAUGCAUCGUUUCUGCCAGGUGGCAGCCCAGUAAUUGCAGUAGCUUCACAAGGGGUGGCACAAAGCAGCACUGCUUGGGAGGGCCUGGCACCUGCAGUGCUCUGGGGGGAGGCUGAGGAGCUGGCCCUGCAGGUGGAGGCUUGGCUUAAAAUCUACUGAUAACCAGGUGUUUUUUUGGCCUCAGGAGGCUAUACAAUCACUAGAAAUCCAUGCUUUACAUUUCCAGGCAACUGUUUAAUUUGCCUUC